GAUGAAGAACGCAGCGAAACGCGAUAUGUAAUGUGAAUUGCAGAAUUCAGUGAAUCAUCGAAUCUUUGAACGCACAUGGCGCCUUCCAGUAUCCUGGGAGGCAUGCCUGUCCGAGCGUCGUUUCAACCCUCGAGCCCCCGUGGCCCGGCGUUGGGGAUCUGCCCAGGCAGUCCCCGAAAACCAGUGGCGGACCCGUUACAGGCCCUUCCCUUGCGUAGUAGCAUUCGCCUCGCAUCGGGAGCCGGCGGGCUUCCAGCCUCUAAACCCCCAUCAAGUCCGCCCCGGCGGCACCAAGGUUGACCUUGGAUCAGGUAGGAAUACCCGCUGAACUUAAGCAUAUCAAUAAGCGGAGGA
rnacentral:misc_RNA from 1 species